UGGUAUCAAUAUACCUGACAAAGAGAGAUCUAACCAACCGUCUGUAAAAUACAUGGCAAAAAAUUUAAUGAUUGAUAUCUGAUGGAAGUUCAGUUGUUUCACAUUUUUAAUUAAAUUUGUUUGUAAAGAAAAAAAAAAAAAUCAACGGAUAGUAUUUUAUUUUUUUAAAUAAAAAGAGAGAUCUAGAGAUAGAGAGAGAGAGGGAGAGAGAUCUAGAGAGAGAUUUAGAGAGAGAGAGAGAGAGAGGAGGGUAGUUGU
rnacentral:lncRNA from 1 species